rnacentral:rRNA from 1 species
GUCUUAUUGAAAAUAAUUUUAAGUCAAUCUGCCCAAUGAAAAUAAUUUAAUGGCUGCAGUAUAACUGACUGUACAAAGGUAGCAUAAUCAAUUGGUUUUUAAAUGAAAUCUGGAAUGAAAGAAUUAAUGAAAUAUAUACUGUCUCAUAUUUAUUUUAUGAAUUUAAAAUUUUAAUAAAAAUGUUAAAAUUUUUUUAUGGGACGAUAAGACCCUAUAGAAUUUUAUAUUAAAUUAUUUUUGUAAUUAAUAUAAAAUUUAAUUUAAUAUUUAAUUGGGAGAAUUAUUAAAUUUGAAAAAUUUUAAUUUAAAUAAACUUAAAUUAAAGAAAAAAAUUUUGAUCUUUAAUUUAAAAAUAAUAGAUUAAAUUACCUUAGGGAUAACAGCGUAAUAUUUUUUUAUAGAUCUUAUAGAAAAAAAUGAUUGCGACCUCGAUGUUGAAUUAAGAUAAAUUUUAAAUGCAGGAGUUUAAUAAUUAAGUCUGUUCGACUUUUAAAAUCUUACAUGAUUUGAGUUCAAAUCGACGUAAGU